rnacentral:rRNA from 1 species
GACGAACGCUGGCGGCGUGCUUAACACAUGCAAGUCAAACGGAAAGGCCCUGCUUUUGUGGGGUGCUCGAGUGGCGAACGGGUGAGUAACACGUGAGUAACCUGCCCUUGACUUUGGGAUAACUUCAGGAAACUGGGGCUAAUACCGGAUAGGAGCUCCUGCUGCAUGGUGGGGGUUGGAAAGUUUCGGCGGUUGGGGAUGGACUCGCGGCUUAUCAGCUUAUUGGUGGGGUAGUGGCUUACCAAGGCUUUGACGGGUAGCCGGCCUGAGAGGGUGACCGGCCACAUUGGGACUGAGAUACGGCCCAGACUCCUACGGGAGGCAGCAGUGGGGAAUAUUGCACAAUGGGCGGAAGCCUGAUGCAGCAACGCCGCGUGCGGGAUGACGGCCUUCGGGUUGUAAACCGCUUUCGCCUGUGACGAAGCGUGAGUGACGGUAAUGGGUAAAGAAGCACCGGCUAACUACGUG